GAAGUGAAUGAAGAAGGCACAGAAGCUGCAGCUGCUUCUGCCGGCGUUAUAAGUGAGAGGAGGAUGCCCAUGACAUUUGUGGCUGAUCGUCCAUUCCUCUUCACGAUCAGGGAAGAAACGACCGGAACAGUUCUGUUCAUCGGUAACCUGCUCAACCCUCUUGCCGGCUGAGUGUUACAACCCCCUGGGAAAGGGCAUCAGAUGUACGUAGAAUAAUACGCGCGAGACUGUAGUAAAUAAAAUGUAUGAUCCUUGUAUACAUGUACUAUGUUUGGUUAUUACCUAAUCACCCUGUACUUGCAGCAGUUGGUCUUGUUUCUCCCAUGUGGCGAUUUUUGUUUGUUCUCCCAUGGCGUUUAUCCAUGUGUAGAAUCUUGAUUCUGAAUACUUAUUUUAUGAUGUACUCUGUUUGAACAAUAAAAGUUUUAGCCGACUGCAAACGUCGGUUAGUGUUAAAGUAUUUAAUAUAUAGAAUGGACGAGUGCUAGUGUUGUACCAUACACAUGGUUGGUGAUGAAAAAGAUUAAACUUUGAAUAUUCUAUAAAAUAUUAUUUAACUUGGGACGAGGAUCUUCUUUGUGAGGAUCUUAUGAAUUAAUUUAUCUUAACGGUUCAUUGUACAUCGUGUGACCAUCUUUCAUUAGAUACUUUUUGUGUUAAAUUUUAAAUAAAUUCAAAAUAAUUUUUGGCUGCAGGAUGAUUGAUAAACAGAUAUGAUGCAUUGAUUCCUAAAGUCCUCACAAAGAGAAUCCGGAUGUUUAUAGUCCUCCAUGACUGGAGAUGGCCUAAGAUGCUAAACACUUAACACUACCCAAUUUUUCCAGUUAGUUAAAUUUUCACAAUUAGUGUAUUAAAUUGCUUAAGAAAUGUUAUCAGCACUCUAAAAUAAUUGACCAUAUUUUCUUGACUCUUUUGUUAAAUUGCAUGAAGAUUUUUUUGGAUAGUCAAUAAUAUCUCCCAAUUGCUUAACAUAGAAUUAAAUAGAGUAUCGCUAACUAGAGCAUGAUAUGUUUCUGUGUCUUUGAUGCCCUUUGCUCGAGAAAAUUUAGUAUAGGGUUUUCAUCACAAAUGGUCCCUGACAUUGAUCAAACACAUCAUUUUGGUCCCUGACAUUGAAAAUCAAUAGAAAUGGUCCCUGACAUUGAUCAAACACAUCAUUUUGGUCCCUGACAUUGAAAAUCAAUAGAAAUGGUCCCUGACAUUGAUCAAACACAUCACAAAUAGUCCUUCCGUUAAAAACGUUUUGGGCAAUUUUCAAAGCUUUGUAACUCAAUCGUUUCUUAACCAAAUUCGACCCAUAAUAUAUCAAAAUGAAGAUAGGAAAGUGUAGAACAAGAUUAUACCUAUUUGGAAACCCAAUGGUUGCCGGAGAUGGCCGGAAAACAGCCUCAAAUGUGACUGGUCCGCGAAAAAACUGGAAAACUCGCCUGAAAUGGGGUAAACUUUAAACAUUCAUAACUUCUUCAAUAAUCAACGAAAUCGAGUGAUUCAAAAAUGAAAAUCAUACUUCUCGACGAGACUAAGAGAAUGGUAGCUUUCUUGAUGGCUAACUCAUUGUAGUUUGGCCGGAAAAUGACUCGAAAUUGGCUAACUCGAAAAUGGUUAUCCAAGUUCGAGCCAUUUUCCGGUCAAACCACGGUAAAUUAGUAGUCAAUAAAGAUACCAUUAUCUUUCUCUCAUUGAGAAGUAUGAUUUUCAUUUUUGAAUCACUCAAUUUCAUUGAGUAUUGAAGAAGUUAUGAAUGUUUAAAGUUUACCCCAUUUCAGGCGAGUUUUUCAGUUUUUUCGCGGACCAGUCACAUUUGAGGCUGUUUUCCGGCCAUCUCCGGCAACCAUUGGGUUUCUAAAUAGGUAUAAUCUUGUUCUACACUUUCCUAUCUUCAUUUUGAUAUAUCAUGGGUCGAAUUUGGUUAAGAAACGAUUGAGUUACGAAGCUUUGAAAAUUGCCCAAAACGUUUUUAACGGAAGGACCAUUUGUGAUGUGUUUGAUCAAUGUCAGGGACCAUUUCUAUUGAUUUUCAAUGUCAGGGACCAAAAUGAUGUGUUUGAUCAAUGUCAGGGAUCAUUUGUGAUGAAAACCCUUUAGUAUAUGAACGACAAACUACGUGUUAUUACGGCCACAGACGAUAAUCCAGACUAUUUGUUUAAUACUUAAGCUUACUUGUGGUCCCAUUAUGUAAAAAAAUUUUGCAUUAGUCUGCACACAAGAAAUUUUUUAUUGGUUUCAGUUGAGCUCAAAUAAUAAUAAUCUGUUCGUGUAAAAGUUAAAAUUUAUCUUAUUAUGUAAUUGAUUUAAAAUACCGUAAAUACUGAUUUAAAAUUAUCUCAUUGUCAGCUUGUGUGUCAUUCUCGUAGAAUUUGGAAUUAUUCACAUUGUUUAGUAACGUAGGAUAUUUCAAGAAGCAUUUUUGCUCACUAUCAUUUAGUGUAAUGUAUAUUCAUCAUUCUAUUUAUCAUCGUUAGAUGAGUUUGAAUUUUAAGAUCCGUGUAGUGGAUAGACACAAAUUUCAAAAUUCAAUCUCAUCUAACGAUAAUAAAUAUGAUGAUGAACAUAAAUCAAAUAAAUGAUGAUGAAAAAAAAUACAUAGAUAUUUCAGUACAUGAAAACGUCACGUUAAUGAAAGGAGCUGGAGCGCCUGCUGCUGACCUCGGUCAAACAGACGGUGUGGGUUUCACGUGGCUGGCGCGAAAUCUAAACCGUUAAUUUAAUGUUAGUUAUCUCUCCCCUUGUCACGACUCCCAUGUAAUGCUGUAAAGUCACAAGCACCCAUCGUUUGGUUCUAAUAUUACAACAGUACCGCCCAUGGAAACACAAUCUUAAGCAAUCUCUAAUACUCAUAAUGUUGUUGAAGUUUUGCACUAAUAAUAGUUGCUAAACAGUGAUUAGACAGUCAGAUAAGAGACAGGGUUUAUGAUGUGAUUUGGACGUCCCAUCCUUUGCCACUUAAAAUGUCUUACCUACCAAACAUAUCUUGAAAAAUAAUUUAGCUUGGUACGAAGAAUCACAAUUUUUGUUUAUAAUUGACGAAAUCAAUCAAUGCAUGUUUUUUAUCAAAUCAAUAUUUAUUGGGAUAUUCAUCCUUAAAAUCUUCAUUUUGUUAUAAAACAACAAUAUAUUUAUUAUUUUUAAAAUUUUGUAAUACGUUUAUUUAAGUAGUGACUUUGAACGUUUUAAAAUUGAAAAAUCAAUAUUUAAAUGCAAAGUUGUCCGUUUUGAAUAAUCUCUAACAAUAUUUUCCUUCUCGUAAAUGAGUAAGAUUGGUUUAUUUUGUACACAAUUAGAUAUUGAGAGUUGAAAUUCUAAAUACUAAGUUCUUCUUAACAUAUUUUCGUAACCAUUUAAGAUGUUUGUAUAUUCGAAGAAUAUGGAAAAAUUGAAUCAACCCAGAUUAUUAUUAUGGCUGUCGACAUCUUUUAUCAGAGGAUAGCCAUCAAGUCACACCGCAUAUCCAGAAAGAGAAAUCCAUCCAAAAAAUAGGAAAACGAAAUGACAUUCCUUAUUUUCCUCCAUGGACGUCCCUUCUCUCCCCACCACGAAGGUCCCAGCUGAAAAGAAACGGAUGGCACAAUCGUGAUUAUCACAAACAGGAAUGUCAAAUUGUAGCAAGAGCAUGGUCAGCGCCGUUACAAAUAAGUGGAAGUUCCUCGGAAGAGUAAGAGAACGCGACAAUCAUAACGUAAUCUAUCUCUUCACUUUCUCAAUCCUUUUCUAUCUUUUUUUUCUUUCUGGGUUCCUUGUACUUCUCAUAAAUAUUAAGAGUUUAAUUCAAAAGAAAGGAACUUUCUCUUUCAUUGCUUACAUUUUUUUUUUCAGAUUAUUUACUUUCCCUUCCUUGCAGUUGCUUGGAAGAAACCAAGCUCAGAAGACCUUUGUUUUUUGAGAAUUCAGUUCAAUCCGUUUAUAUAUAUAUAUAUAUAUGGUGUUGAUGAUUUACCAGAAGUGAUAGUGCUUCAACCGAGAAGAAGAAGCUUUUAGUCUUCAGAAAUUCAGAGAAAAGAUAAGGAAGUGGAAGAGUGAAGGAAAAGCAAAUCAAAAGAUGGGAGAAACUGCUCCUCAUCCUCCACCACAGGUGGUUGCUCGGCCGUCUCAGAUGCCUCUUGGGGCAGCGAAGGGUCCCCAUUUGGACUCCAACUGAGCAGCUCCACAACCUUCAGUAUUGCAUCCACUCCAACCCCUCUUAGCGUUAGUCUCUCUCUGUUUCUGUUAAUUUCUUCGUUCUGGGUUUUAUAUUUUUUGAGUAAAAAGCUGAUUAAAGUUGUGCUAUUUUAAUGGGUUGGUUUAAAAGUUGAAGCUUUUGGCACUACUUCUUAUUUAGUUUACUAGUUUGCUUUUUAUUCCUAAUUUUGCAAAUUACUUUUACUAUUUUUGUUUCGGAUUCUCUAAUUUAUUGUGUUCGAAUCUUUUUAAGUACUGUAAUUAGUUCUAAUAAAAUAAUAAGCAUAUGUUCCAUUACCAGUUUCAACUUAUCCUGCUUACAAGACAUCGAUAUCACUCGAAAAUGUUUAGGAAGUGUAAACGUAAAUUUCCCAUGUUUAUCAAAUGCAACAAACUGCUUCUAAUGGAUCGAAUUUUACAGCGGAAACAUUCGUACUCGCUUUUCAGCACUAUAUUGUGAUGCUCGGAUCCAUAGUUAUAAUUGCCACUAGUUUCGUGCCUCGGAUGGGUGGGGAUCAUGUAAGUUAUGUCCUCUAUACAGUAAAGUUUAUAAUAUGCCGGUUAAGAUUAGCGAUCACACACGUAGCUUUGAAUCCGUGAUGUUAAUGUUUGGGUUUUGUUCUCCCUUUGUGAUCAGGGUGACAAGGCACGCGUGAUUCAGACGAUGCUGUUUAUGGCAGCAAUAAACACUUUGAUCCAAACAUUCACGGGACAAGGCUUCCAACAGUGAUGACUUCGUCAUUCGCUUUUACCCUUCCGGUGAUGUCAAUCAUCAAUGAUUAUUCUGAUCGGAAUUUUAGAAGUGAACAUGAGGUAUGUAAAGUUUGAAACAUGUUAUUCAUAGAGGAUUUAACAUCACAUUAAUUUACUUCUUAAAUUGCUUUAAGAAAUUUCAGUUAUAGACUUUGAGAUGAAAAAUACGUGGUGCAAAAAACGUGUAAACCUUACAUACCUGUAGAAGACGUCAUGAUGAAUUUCUGGUUUUGAGGACGGAAUAGAUUGAAGCACGUCCAUGCACUGUUGCGUCAUAUGCAACAAACUGAUGGGGAGUUCUAGGGUUGUGGCAUUAGCAAUGUGACAGGGACCUCAAACUUACAUAGGCCUCACGUCCCUAGAACCCUACCCACUAAUGGAGACUAGAAACUCUUAUGAUCCUCUAACGAGAAUAAUAAAGCCAAUGGAAAUGUUAGCACACAAUUGUUGUACAUAUAACAGACUUCGAGCAAUUUUUGGAACACGUAAAACAUUGUUAAGAAUAAGAUCAUGAGUAUUGGUUUUAAUGGUUGUUGCAUCAAUAUUCUUAAUGGAUAAACCUGUUCCAUUUCCAACUGUGAUUUUAUCAAAACCUUGGAAUGGUGUAACUUGAUUCAAUGUGGUGGCAUCAGCAGUGAUAUGAUGAGAUGCACCAGUAUCAACAAUCCAUGCAUCAUGAGGAAUAUAUUGUUCUAUCUGCUGUGUUGCCAUAGCUGUUAAGUUUGCAGGUGGUUGUUGGCCUUGAAAAACAUAAUUCCCUUUGUGAUAACAUUCAAGAGCUGAGUGACCUUUUUUUCCCACAAAUCUGACACUCCAUUUGAAAUCUAGUAUUUGGUGUAGUAGCAUUUCUGUGAAAACAAUUGACUGCAGUAUGCCCUUUCUUGUUGCAGAUUUGGCACUCAAUCACUGUUGUUGACCUGCUCUCUGUGUUUCCAUUCCACACAUUUGAACCAUUUGACCUUGAAUUGCCAUACGAAAAAUCAGAAGAGUUUCCUAUGUUGUAACCCUUGCUUUUGAAUCCACCAUUUGUCUUGUAAUUAUUGUUACCCUUGUAGUUUGAACCACCAAAAGGUUUCUGCAUGAAAUGAGGUAUUGGACCAGAAUUUGAUGCAUUAGCCAUAAACCCAAAACCAUAGGGAACUUGAGGAUAAACUGGACCAGGAAAUUGCGGAGACAUAGGAGGUUGAGGCAUAUGAGGUUGCUGUGGAUAUUGUUGUGGCAAGACAAAUGGCUGUGGUUAUUGUGGCUGUGGAUAUUGUUGUGGAUAUUGCUGUGGUAAAACAAAUGGCUCAGCAGAAUAUGGAUAUGGAUUAGGAGUUAUAACACCACCAGUGGUUGCAGGUAAAUGACUAUGCCCUGCAGGAUUAGACCCUGAAGCAAAUGAAUUUCCCUGAGUUGACUAAGAACCCUAAACAUAUAAGGCAGAUAGACUUUGAGACCCAACACUUGUGUCUCAUUCAAUCUCUUUUUCAGCUCUAAAUUUUUUCAAGGAAAUGGAUGAUUCUUUGCCAUAUAUCACAGUUCGAAUAGUUGCAUACUCCUUCGGCAAACCAGCUAAACCAGCAAUUAUAACAUCAUUAUCAGAAAUGAACUCUCCAGUAGCAGUUAAUUGUUCUCUUAUACUCUUCAAUCUUAACAGAUAUUUAUCCAUCAAAUCUCCUCAUUUUUGAAUGGUGUACAACUCAAUUUUUAAAUGAUUUACCCUAGUUUUAGACACUGAAGCAAAUCUAUCCACAAGAUUCGACCAAGCCUCACAAGCAGUUAAACAUCCAAGAACAUAUUUAAUAGCCUCAUCAAACAAAGUAGCUAGUAAAAGACUUAGUAAUGGAUAUGUGGAUUCCCAUUCAACAUAUUCAGCAAGUUCAGAAGUAACUCCUCUCUUAGUAUCUAUUACAAAUUUUUGUGGACAACCAAUAGUGCCAUCAAAAUGCCCAAACAAUUUAUGACCUUUCAACACAUAUUUGAACUGAAAAGCCCAUUUCACAAAAUUAUCAUCCUUCAACUUUAUUGUGAUCAUUCCCAGUUUCAACUUUAACACUUGAAGUAGUCAUGAUUUCUUGAUCGAACACAUAGAAUUUGCAAAUAACAAACAAACACCCAAAAAUUUCUGAUAUACGUAUUGAAAGGAAAGACUGAAACUUUCUCACAACCCAAGCAAGACUGAAACUCGCUUAAUACUCAGGAAAAACUGAAACUUUCUUGAUGAAUCUUGCACACAAAUACAACACACAAUUCCAAUUCGGAAAAGAAAACACAAAAUCUUCUAAUCAGGACUGAAACCCAAUUACUCAACAGAAAUUCACACUAUCACUUGAAUUGCAGCUGUGAUUGCAGCCACAAAUAGCCAGAAUACCAACCGCCAGAAAGAACAACAAGGAUCUGCAAUCGCCAGAACUUUUGAACAAACCCGUUGAAAAGACCUUUCAGAAUCCUUGAACUGGAUAGCAGCGAAAGAACUAGGAUCGAAAACGGUAGUGAACCAUGGUCAGCGAUGAUACCAUAUUAACAGUGUUGAAUUGUGGCCAAGUGGCCAUCACCUUUCGGCUAAUAAACAAACAAAGAAAAGAAAAAGAAAGACAAAAUGAUGAGGAAACAUCAUGAUGAGGAGGCAUCAUGAUUAUGCUUUCUUGUAGUUUUUUAAUAACCAUAAUUAUUGUUUUUGUUUCGGGUAGAAGAGAAGAAAGGGAGAGCUCAUUUUUUAGAAGAAAGCAUAUUAAAGAGAGAAGAGGAGAGAGAGAAGGUAGAGCCUUUUGGUUAUAAAAGGCAUUCGAUUAUGCCUUUGGAUGUGGGAGGGGGGGGAGCGGCAGAUGAGAGAGCACAGGGAGAGCAUUCGGCUCUCCCAUUUGAAUAUGAGCUGCUCCUUCCCACCAUUUGUAAUAAUCCCAUUUUGUUAGUAAUCACUCAAUCAAAGAUGUUGGUGCUACUUGUGUAGCUUUUGGGAGAGAAGGAUUUUGAUAUGUGUUUCUUCUUCUCCAUUUGUUUCUUAGUUUGAGUGAGAGCUAUUGGGUGUAUGUGGGAUUUGGGUUUGAGUGUUGAACUCUAUUUGUAAUCUCCUUUUGAUAUUAAUGGAAUUUCCUCGCCGUCUCGGAACUGGAUGUAGGCUUACGCCAAACCAGUAUAAAAAUCCUUGUGUCUUUUGGAUUAUUUGUCUUGUCAUAUUUUGCCGUUAUUAGCUUUGAUUUCAUAUUUGAAGCUUCCGCACAACAAGUGGUAUCAAAGCUCCGGGUUUCGACUUGGAGGCUUUGUACUAGUAUGUCUAUGAAAUCUUCAAAUGACGGUGAAAUAUGUUUUUUGGAAAAAUUCGACUGGAGGAAUGACUUUGGCAUUUGGUCAAUUGGAGAUGCAGAGUUUGGCUGCAAAAUGCGUGGCGUUGAAGAAGGAUAGUAAGGGACUAUGCUGCAGUCAUUGAGCUUGCAGAUUGGAGAAUGGUUUCGGAAACAGCGUGUCUGCUGCAAUGUUGCCGUCGAUGUUGUUGAAGUGUUGGUGUUCGACAGCUGCAGAUGUAGUGUACUGCUUUUGGUGGGUUCUCUGUUGGUCAUCGCUGCACCGGAGGUGUUUGUGGGCUGUUGUCGACGAGUUGAGUGGGAAGGAGAAAAGGUAGAAGCAGUUGAAAAUUGAAAAGAAAAUGUUGGUUCUUUUUCUUUCGGCAUUUGUUUUGGCAGAAGGACAUCAUGAUGACAAAUGAUGUUGUUGGCUGGAAGAAAAGGGAAAAAGGCUAAGGCUAAGUUUUCUUUUCUUUGGCAUUUUUUCAACGGCAGAAAAUUUUUGGUUCUUUUUUCACUCCCAUUAGUUGCCUUUGGAGCAAGUUGAUGGAAACAUUGGAGGAGUUUGUGAGGGCCAAUUUGUUGAGUUCUGCAAGUUUGGAUAGUGAGGCACCACACUAUUUUGGAUACACCACAUGCACUGCAGAACAUUUGUGUGGAACCCUCUUGUAGAAGGCAAGUUAUAUGCUUUCUAACUUUGUUUGGUCUAUGGACAUUUAGUUGGAUUUGUUUGCCACUGCUAUUUGGUUUGUUGGUCUCCAUCAUCUGCAAUUAGUUUUCUUGAAGACUCCAGUUGAGGUAUGGUUUUGGAUCUCCUGCUGAUUAUUUGAAUUUGAAAUUUUUGGUUGUCCUGUUGGUGCUCAUGUGAUGAUGGUAAACUUGAGUGGAGGGCAUAGUUUUUUUGUAUGUGGUAUGUUAGACCUUGUUGCCAAAUUUGUAAUCAGUUUUGACUUGGAGAAUAUGCCGUGCUAUUUGAAUGAGUCUAUUGAUGCAGUUUAAGACCAUGGUGUUUGUAAGCAGGUGGAGUUCGUUCUGUGUCCAACUUUGGUAUGGUGUGCUUGAUCUUUUGUUAGUGAUAUUGAAGAAUUUCAGUUCUUCGUUUGAAUCACUUUUGUUUUGAUCAAGGCACUUAUGGUUUGCAAAUUUGGAGAAUACGGUAGAGAAAUGGUCUACUUUUGUUGGCUUUGGUAUAAUUUGAGUCGAGGUGGAGAUCAUUAUGAGUACCGGAAAGUUUGGGGAAUUUGAUUUAGUUCCCGUUGUCUUUAGUUUGUACUUUGGGUGAUUAUGGUGAUUGUUGAUUCGAUUCUCUGUGAUGGUUUCGGAACUUGGCCAAGGUGGAGAUUGUUGAAUUGUGGCCAAGUGGCCAUCAUCGGCUAAUAAACAAACAAAAGAAAAGAAAAAGAAAGACAAAAUGAUGAGGAAACAUCAUGAUGAGGAGGCAUCAUGAUUAUGCUUUCUUCUUUUGUGGUUUUUUAAUAACCAUAAUUAUUGUUUGUUUAUUAGCCGAAAGGUGAUGGCCACUUGGCCACAAUUCAACAAUCUCCACCUUGGCCAAGUUCCGAAACCAUCACAGAGAAUCGAAUCAACAAUCACCAUAAUCACCCAAAGUACAAACUAAAGACAACGGGAACUAAAUCAAAUUCCCCAAACUUUCCGAUACUCAUAAUGAUCUCCACCUUGACUCAAAUUGUACCAAAGCCAACAAAAGUAGACCACUUCUCUACCGUCUUCUCCAAAUUUAAAUCCUAUGAAGAAAGGGAGAGCUCAUUUUUUAGAAGAAAGCAGAUUGAAGAGAGAAGAGGAGAGAGAAGGUAGAACCUUUUGGUUAUAAAAGGCAUUCGAUUAUGCCUUUGGAUGUGGGGAGAGCGGCAGAUGAGAGAGCACAGGGAGAGCAUUCGGCUCUCCCAUUUGAAUAUGAGUUGCUCCUUCCCACCAUUUGUAAUAAUCCAAUUUUGUUAGUAAUCACUCAAUCAAAGAUGUUGGUGCUACUUGUGUAGCUUUUGGGAGAGAAGGAUUUUGAUAUGUGUUUCUUCUUCUCCAUUUGUUUCUUAGUUUGAGUGAGAGCUAUUGGGUGUAUGUGGGAUUUGGGUUUGAGUGUUGAACUCUAUUUGUAAUCUUCUUUUGAUAUUAGUGGAAUUUCCUCGCCGUCUCGGAACUGGAUGUAGGCUUAUGCCGAACCAGUAUAAAAAUCCUUGUGUCUUUUGGAUUAUUUGUCUUGUCAUAUUUUGCCAUUAUUAGCUUUGGUUUCAUAUUUGAAGCUUCAGCAAUACAAACAGUACAAGAUCAAUGAAUUCCUAUGAAUGAAUAAACUAAAGAAAUCGAAGAAAGAGAAUAACGAGAGAGAAAAGCUUUUCAUUUAUAUUGCUCUAACAGAAAAUGAUUACAUGAUAAAAAUCUAAGUCUCCAAAACAAUAAUUAUAUAGAGACUAGAAUGAGCAGAAUCACAAUAUUGCCUUUCUAACUAAUUCUUAUCUUCUAACAACCUCAACACUCACAAGCUUGACACUUGUCAUUUCUUACAACCACUCCUAACAAAUCCUAACUGUUUAUCUGGUUAAUAUAACGGAUGGCCGACGACCGACACCGAGAUUUUCCCAAACCUUGGUCCUUACUCUCGUAUAAAUUCGAAACGAACAGUAAACAAUUUUCUCGCAAUCGGAAGCACGGCAAACAUGGAUCUGAGAGAAAGCAUCAUCAACCAAAACGACGUCGCAAGGAGGCUGACGAAGCAGCUGGUUCAGACCGAAGGCAAGCAGUCGAACCUCGUGUACUCGCCGCUGUCCAUCCACGUGGUGCUGAGCCUGAUCGCAGCCGGGUCAAAGGGUCCCACCCAGGAGCAGCUGCUCUCAUUCCUCAAGUCAGAGUCCACCGACCACCUCAACUCCUUCGCCUCCCAGCUCCUGCCCUUUAUCUUCUCCGAUGGGUCCCCCGUGGGCGGCCCCAAGCUGGCGUUUGCGAAUGGCGUUUGGGUGCAGAAGCCUCUCCCUCUGAAGCCUUCCUUCAAGCAGGUGGUGGAAGCUUCUUACAGGGCCGCUCUCGUCCUAGUUGAUUUUCAGACCAAUGUAAGCUCCCAAACCCUCUGUCAUGUCGUUUCGAUUGUUUUUGUCGAUGCUGCUCAUGAUCAAAGUCUUUGGUUGUAAUUUCAGACCAAUGUUUCAAUGUCGAUGCUGCUGAUGCUCUUUUGUUCGUUACUGUUUUUGGUUGUAAUUGAUCGAGAUAUGCAGGUUGAUAUCAUUGUUUUCUAACUUGUCGUAACUGUUGUUGGUGCUCAAGGCUGCUCAAGUGGAGUCGGAAGUGAAUUCAUGGGCUGAAAAGGAGACGAGCGGCCUUAUCAAGGAUCUACUUCCUCCCGGGUCACUUGACAGCUUCACCAGGCUCAUCUUUACCAAUGCAUUAUACUUCAAGGGAGCUUGGAAUGAGAAAUUUGAUGCAACAGCUACAAAAGAGCAUGACUUCCACCUUCUCGACGGGAGCACAGUUAAGGCGCCCUUCAUGACCAACAAGAACCAGCAGUAUGUAAGUGCCUUUGACGGUUUCUCAGUCUUAGGGCUUCCUUACAAACAAGGUGAAGACAAGCGGCGCUUCUCCAUGCACAUCUUUCUUCCACAGGAGAAAGAUGGGCUGCCAGCUUUGGUUGAGAAACUUGGCUCUGAGUCCGGGUUUUUAGAUCGCUAUCUUCCCAAACAACCAGUUGCAGUGGGCGACUUCAGAAUCCCAAAGUUUAAGAUCUCAUUUGGGUUUGAAGCUUCCAAUGUCCUAAAGAGUCUGGGACUGGUGCUGCCUUUCGUGGGUGGAGGUCUGACAGAGAUGGUGGACUCGCCCGAGGGUAAGAAGCUAUAUGUUUCCAACAUAUUCCACAAGUCGUUCAUCGAAGUGAAUGAAGAAGGCACAGAAGCUGCAGCUGCUUCUGCCGGCGUUAUAAGUGAUAGGAGGAUGCCCAUGACAUUUGUGGCUGAUCGUCCGUUCCUCUUCACGAUCAGGGAAGAAACGACCGGAACAGUUCUGUUCAUCGGUAACCUGCUCAACCCUCUUGCCGGCUGAGUGUUACAAUCCCCUGGGAAAAGGCAUCAUGUGUACGUAGAAUAAUACGAGAGUAUAGUAAAUAAAAUGUAUGAUCCUUGUAUACAUGUGCUAGGUUUGGUUAUUACCUAAUCACCCUGUACUUGCCGCAGUUGGUCUUGUUUCUCCCAUGUGGCGAUUGUUGCUCGUUCUCCCAUGGCGUUUAUCUAUUUGUACAAUCUUGAUUCUGAAUACUUAUUUUAUGUUGUACUCUGUUUGAACAAUUAAAGUUUUAGCCGACUGCAAACGUCGGUUAAGUGUUAAAGUAUUUGGACAGGGAUUGUCUGCUUUUUCAUUUUUCGUGUCCUUCUGUUUUGUGUGUUCACAGUUAAACUACGUCAAUAUUUUAUAUUAUUUUUUUAUAGAAAUAAUAAGAUAAAAAUAAAUAAUAAUAUAAAAUAUUAACGUGACUUAACUGUAACCACACAAACAGGAGGGCACGGAAGACCACCGGAAGUGGAAGAGCGGACAUUCUUGUCCAAAGUAUUUAAUAUAUAGAAUGUACGAGUGCUAGUGCUGUACCAUAUACAUGGUUGGUGAUGAAAAGGAUUAAACUAUGAAUAUUCUAUAAAAUAUUAUUUACCCUAGGACGAGGAUUUUCUUUGGAUCUUCUUUACGAGGAUCUUAGGAAUUAAUUCAUUUUAACGGUUUAUUGUACAUCGUACGGUCAACUUUCGUUAGAUACUUUUUAUGUUUAAUUUUAAAUAAAUUCAAAAUAAUUUUUCACUGCAUGAUGCAUUGAUUCCUAAAGCACUCGCAAAGAGACUCCAGAUGUUUAGUUCUCCAUGACUGGAGAUGGCCUAAGAUGCUAAACACUUAACACUAACCAAUUUUUCCGGUUAGUUAAAUUGUUUAAUAAAUGCUAUCCACACUCUAAAAUAAUUGACCAUAUUUUCUUGACUCUUUUGUUAGAUUGCAUGAAAUAUUGUUCGAGUAAAUAAUCUCUCAAGUAUCACUCAGACUUCAUAAUGAUUUUGAUUUUGAUUACAUAGUAAGCAUGUCAUUAAGGUCAAAUUUUGAACAAACACCCAAUUACAUAGCACGCAUGUUAUUAUGGUGUAUGCUCAUUGUCACUUUCAAAACUUGACACCUGUCUACUAACAUAACCGAUGGCCGACGACCGACACCUUCCCAAACCUUGGUCCUUACCCUCGUAUAAAUUCGAAACGAACAGUAAACAAUUUUCUCGCAAUCGGAAGCACGGCAAACAUGGAUCUGAGAGAAAGCAUCAUCAACCAAAACGACGUCGCAAGGAGGCUGACGAAGCAGCUGGUUCAGACCGAAGGCAAGCAGUUGAACCUCGUGUACUCGCCGCUGUCCAUCCACGUGGUGCUGAGCCUGAUCACAGCCGGGUCAAAGGGUCCCACCCAGGAGCAGCUGCUCUCAUUCCUCAAGUCAAAGUCCACCGAUCACCUCAACUCCUUCGCCUCCCAGCUAGUGUCCGUGAUCUUCUCCGAUGGGUCCCCCGUGGGCGGCCCCAAGCUGGCGUUUGCGAAUGGGCUUUGGGUGCACAAGCCUCUCACGCUGAAGCCUUCCUUCAAGCAGGUGGUGGACGCUUCUUACAAGGCAGCUCUCGCCCUAGUCGAUUUUCAGACUAAUGUAAGCUCCCAAACCCUCUGUCAUGUCGUUUCGAUAGUUUUUUUUUCAAUGCUGCUCAUGAUCAAAGUCCUGAAUUUUUUUUCCCGAUUUGAUUAGAGAUGUAUAAAUAUUUCCUAAAUUGCAGGCCUGCUGAUGCUCUUUUAUUCUUGUAGCAUUUCAACUAAAUAUUUCCUCUCUAAUCAUUACUGUUUGUGCUUGUUCUUGUGCAUAGCCGUUACGAAAUCGUAUCGAAGAUUUUUUUGUUCGUUACUGUUUGUGGUUAUAAUCUAGGUAUUAAAUAUUGAUAAUAUCGGAAAUAUCGGUAGUCCAGAAACACGGAAAUAUUGAUGGAAAUAUCGGGAUAUUAUCGAUAUGUAUAAAAAUAAUAUGGAAACCACGGAAAUUGUAAGAAAAACUUGGAAAUUUUUAUUGAAACUUUGCAGGAUGUUUAUUUAGUCAAUUAUCUAUUAGUUUAUCACAAAAUAUUGGAAGGAAAUGUAUUACAUAAUAGAUUUAACUGAUUUAAGUUGAUUAUAUAGCGAACUAGCGAACUACCAAACAUUAUGAGUUAGAAAAUAUGUAGUAAUUAAUAAAAGAAGUUUAAACACACAGUCACCGACUAUUAAAAAUUGUACAUGUAAAAGCUGUAAAAGUUGAAUUAUUUAGAUGCUUUUUUUUCUUACAUGCCACCCACACACACACACACACAGACUCUCACACGCCAACACACACGCACACACAGAUCACACACACAUCACACACACAGACAGAGACUGAGGUCUCUCUUUCUCGAUCCUUCUCUCUUCUCUCUCGAUCCUUCUCCCUUCUCUUCGACAGAGACUGAGGUCUAUCUCUCUCUCGAUCCUUCUCUCUUCUCUCCCUUCUCCAUUCUCCCACACACACACCCAGAUCUCUCGAUCUCUCUUCUCCCUUCUCCCACACACACGCACAGAGACCUCGCCCCUCCCCCCUCGUCAUCGUCUCCACCGCAAAUCUAGGUCUUUGAACGUAAAUUGCAGGCCUGCUGAUGCUCUUUUAUUCUUGUAGCAUUUCAACUAAAUAUUUCCUCUCUAAUCAUUACUGUUUGUGCUUGUUCUUGUGCAUAGCCGUUACGAAAUCAUAUCGAAGAUUUUUUGUUUGUUACUAUUUGUGGUUAUAAUCUAGGUAUUAAAUAUUGGUAAUAUCGGUAGUCCAGAAACACGGAAAUAUUGAUGGAAAUAUCGGGAUAUUAUCGAUAUGUAUAAAAAUAAUAUGGAAACCACGGAAAUUGUAAGAAAAACUUGAAAAUUUUUAUUGAAACUUUGCAGGAUGUUUAUUUAGUCAAUUAUCUAUUAGUUUAUCACAAAAAAAUUGGAAGGAAAUGCAUUGCAUGAUAGAUUUAACUGAUUUAAGUUGAUUAUAUAGCGAACUAGCGAACUAGCAAACAUUAUGAGUGUAGAAAAUAUGUAGUAAUUAAUGAAAGAAGUUUAAACACACAGUCACCGACUAUUAAAAAUUGUACAUGUAAAAGCUGUAAAAGUUGAAUUAUUUAGAUGUUUUUUUUUCUUACAUGCCAUCCACACACACACACACACACAGACUCUCACACGCCAACACACACCACGCAUACACAGAUCACACACACAGACAGAGACUGAGGUCUCUCUCUCUCGAUCCUUCUCUCUUCUCUCUCGAUCAUUCUCCAUUCUCUCUCGACCUAGACUGACUCUCUCUCUCUCUCUCUCUCUCUCUCUCUCUCUCUCUCUCUCUCUUUCCCACACACACACAGAUCUUUCGAUCUCUCUUCUCCCUUCUCCCACACACACGCACAGAGACAUCGUCCUUCGUCAUCGUCAUCGUCUCCCACACACACGCACAGAGACCUCGCCCCUCGUCAUCGUCUCCACCGCAAAUCUAGGUCUUUGAACGUAAAUUGCAGGCCUGCUGAUGCUCUUUUAUUCUUGUAGCAUUUCAACUAAAUAUUUCCUCUCUAAUCAUUACUGUUUGUGCUUGUUCUUGUGCAUAGCCGUUACGAAAUCGUAUCGAAGAUUUUUUGUUCAUUACUGUUUGUGGUUAUAAUCUAGGUAUUAAAUAUUGGUAAUAUCGGAAAUAUCGGUAGUCCAGAAACAUGGAAAUAUUGAUGGAAAUAUCGGGAUAUUAUCGAUAUGUAGAAAAAUAAUAUGGAAACCACAAAAAUUGUAAGAAAAACUUGAAAAUUGUUAUUGAAACUUUGCAGGAUGUUUAUUUAGUCAAUUAUAUAUUAGUUUAUCACAAAAAAUUGGAAGGAAAUGCAUUGCAUGAUAGAUUUAACUGAUUUAAGUUGAUUAUAUAGCGAGCUAGCAAACAUUAUGAGUAGAAAAUAUGUAGUAAUUAAUGAAAGAAGUUUAAACACACAGUCACAGACUAUUAAAAAUUGUACAUGUAAAAGCUGUAAAAGUUGAAUUAUUUAGAUACUUUUUUUUCUUACACGCCACCCACCCACACACACACACACACUCUCACACGCCAACACACACGCACACACAUACACACAUCACACACAGACAGAGACUGAGGUCUCUCUUUCUCGAUCCUUCUCUCUUCUCUCUCGAUCAUUCUCCCUUCUCUCCGACAGAGACUGAGGUCUCUCUCUCUCUCUCGAUCCUUCGCUCUUCUCUCCCUUCUCCAUUCUCCCACACACACACACAGAGAUCUCUCGAUCUCUCUUCUCCCUUCUCCCACACACACGCACAGAGACAUCGUCCCUUGUCAUCGUCAUCGUCUCCCACACACACAUACACAGACCUCGCCCCUCGCCCCUCGUCAUCGUCUCCAUCGCAGAUCUAGGUCUUUGAAUGUCAAAGUUUCGAGCGCACCUCAAAUCCAGGCAAUCUGAUUCUGACGCUGUAGUCGUCGCCGCCACCACCAACUUCCUAAGCCAAGAAUGGAGAACCUGAUCUCGUUGGUGAACAAAAUCCAGAGGGCUUGUACUACUCUAGGGGACUAUGGCGAAGGUAGUGCAUUCGUCGUCGCCGUCGUCGCCAUCGCCGUCAGUGGUCAGAUCAACUCCCGGUCCCUCACCUUCUUACCUCUUCGAUUGAUUCAUGCAUAUGAAUUGUGGUUGUGUUUUCAAUCGCUCUGUAGCUUAGAUCUUGAUCUUAAUCAUGUUUUUGCAAGGUUUUUGGGAUGAAAUCGGCUCGGGAAUCGGCACACCCAUUUCCGGCGUUCUUCUCCGAGUAGCCAGUUCCAAAAAUAUCGUGAUAAUUUCGGAAAUAUUACGAUAUUAUCGAUAGUAUAGCUAUAUUUUGACGAAAACCCUUUGGAUACCUAUUAAAAUAUCGGUCCGGCGAAAAACCGAUAAUAUCGACGAUAUAUUGGCGAUUUUGUUCCUUGGUUAUAAUUGAUCGAGAUAUGCAGGCUGAUAUCAUUGUUUUCUAACUUGUCGUAACUGUUGUUGGUGCUCAAGGCUGCUCAAGUGGCGUCGGGAGUGAAUUCAUGGGCUGAAAAGGAGACGAGCGGCCUUAUCAAGGAUCUACUUCCUCCCAGGUCACUUGACAGCUCAACCAGGCUCAUCUUUACGAAUGCAUUGUACUUCAAAGGAGCUUGGACUGAGAAAUUUGAUGCAUCAGCUACAAAAGAGCAUGACUUCCACCUUCUCGACGGGAGCACAGUUAAGGCGCCCUUCAUGACCAGCAAGAGGAAGCAGUAUGUAAGUGCCUUUGACGGUUUCUCAGUCUUAGGGCUUCCUUACAAACAAGUUGAAGACAAGCGGCGCUUCUCCGUGCACAUCUUUCUUCCAGAGGAGAAAGAUGGGCUGCCAGCUUUGGUUGAGAAACUUGGCUCUGAGUCCGGGUUUUUGGAUCGAUAUCUUCCCAAACAACCAGUUGCAGUGGGCGACUUCAGAAUCCCAAAGUUUAAGAUCUCAUUUGGGUUUGAAGCUUCCAAUGUCCUAAAGAGUCUGGGACUGGUGCUGCCUUUCGAGGGUGAAGGAGGUCUGACAGAGAUGGUGGACUCGCCCGAGGGUAAGAAGCUAUAUGUUUCCAGCAUAUUUCACAAGUCGUUCAUCGAAGUGAAUGAAGAAGGCACAGAAGCUGCAGCUGCUUCUGCCGGCGUUAUAAGUCAGAGGAGUAUGCCCAUGACAUUUGUGGCUGAUCAUCCAUUCCUCUUCACGAUCAGGGAAGAAACCACAGGAACAGUUCUGUUCAUCGGUAACCUGCUCAACCCUCUUGCCGGCUGAGUGUUACAAUCCCCUGGGAAAAGGCAUCAUGUGUACGUAGAAUAAUACGAGACUAUAGUAAAUAAAAUGUAUGAUCCUUGUAUACAUGUGCUAGGUUUGGUUAUUACCUAAUCACCCUGUACUUGCCGCAGUUGGUCUUGUUUCUCCCAUGUGGCGAUUGUUGUUCGUUCUCCCAUAUGGCGUUUAUCUAUUUGUAGAAUCUUGAUUCUAAAUACUUAUUUUAUGUUGUACUCUGUUUGAACAAUU
rnacentral:lncRNA from 1 species